rnacentral:rRNA from 1 species
CUACUACCGAUUGAAUGGCUCAGUGAGGCGUUCGGACUGGCCCAGAGAGGUGGGCAACUACCACUCAGGGCCGGAAAGUUCUCCAAACUCGGUCAUUUAGAGGAAGUAAAAGUCGUAACAAGGUCUCCGUUGGUGAACCAGCGGAGGGAUCAUUA